CCACACUGAGCACACCAAGCUUUGCCCUUCUGAAGGAUAAAUUGGGCUAGUACCAAUUAGCUCACUAAACAAAUAUUUCUCCAUUGAAGCACAUGUUUGCUCUCCCAUUUCACUCUGUAUUUACUUAUUCAUAGCCCAUAAAAAGCAGUUAGCUGGAAACAUUCAUGUUUCCUCAUUACAUUCCCCAAAGUGGGAGGUUGUUUUCCUCUCAUGUAGCAUUUUUCCAGUGUGUGAAAAUCUCUGGCCUCAAAGCACACUUGUGGGAACCCAUAAUUGAGUCUGAGAUCAUCCAACAGCAGCAGAAAGCUCUUACAGCCCCGAGAGCCUCAGGGAGCCAGGAAGCUUACAGAACCUUGCUGAAAAACACGGGAUCUAUAGCUAAAUCCAGAAAGCCCCCGGAGACCAUUUGGACCAACCCCUCCCACAGAAGAUACAGAAUGCCAAAUAUUCCAAUGUAAGGAUGGUCCUGAGAAAAAAGAUCCUUGGAAGUCUUUAGAGUGGUAAUCAUAUGCCAAUGUCCCUGCUGAGAGAUGGUAUAACCUCAUGUUGAACAGCUGCUGUUAGAGUGGUUAAAGCCCUGACCCCUGCCAUUCACUAUGGGAGAAGACAGCAACAGCUUUUCUGCCCCACUGGUGUUCUCUAGGGCUUUCUGACCCAGGUCCUCAUCAGCGCAGUCCCUAGCGUUGAGCCCAGCAACCCUAGGAUCAAGGCCUUGAAAGACAAGGUUUUGGGAUCUCCCAAAGUUUUUCAAAGAAAACCUUUAGAAUCUUUAUCCCAAUGGCAGCCGCGGGUUGUUUGGUUCAGCCACUGCCAUCACACCGGCCACUGCAGGGAGGGCACAUGGAGGAGGCAGAGAGCACCACCCCCAUCCCCUAGCCAGCCACCCAGAGGGCCGCCACAAUGGGACUGGGCUAGGUCACAUACCAGGUAAGGGGGAGCUCCAGGCCACCCCUGAACACCAGGGCCACAGGGGAAGCUCACCGCAACGUCGCCCCUGCCCUGGAUGCAAGGACCUGGAGCCCCAGCCCCAGGCUGUGAGGGGGCGUGGCCGGGUGCUGUGCUCCCUUGAGCCCCCGGGAGCCAGGGACAAGCAGGAGCCCUGCCUUUUCCAAGCUGGCAGGGUGGGAGCUCCCCAGGUGAAACUGCAGCCGCCCAAGCCCCCAAGUCAGUGGCUGCAGACCAGACCCCGGCCUCUUGCUACACGGAGCAGGCAGGAGCCCCGCCCACACCCCUGGCAGAUGAAGUCGCCCAAACUGGAACUGCAGACCCAGGCAGUCCCGCACUCUUGGGGGACCUGGGAAGGCGCCCCUGCCCUUGCAGGCUCAGAGGUGCCUGCUCCCACUGCCUGGCCUCUCCCAACUCCUGGCACUCACUCCAAUUUCGGAGUGCAGUUCCGGCCAACCCCAGGUGAUAUGACAGUUUGGCUGGGUGGGGACACACUUGGGGCAGUGCUGACAUGCCGGCCCCUUGCCGCCUCAGCCCCCUCCAAACUUUGGGCACCAACGAGCACUGGAGGGGAAGCUGAUGGGGGGGGCUGAGGGUAGCUGAGUGCUGGCCUGAAGUUGUCCCUUGGUGCCAGCAGCCUGAAUGCCAUGGAUGACUGCAGGAGGCAAACAGGCUCCUGGGCAAAAGGGGGUGGGUCCCCAGCGAAGCCCCACCUUCAGGCCCCUGGAGCAGGUGACCAAUGAACCAAUCAGCAGGUCCGGGGCAGCUGCCCAUGGACCAAUCAGCAUGCACUUCUACCCCACCUCCGUGGUCCAUAAAAGCCCUGGGCUCAGCGGGAGCAGGGUGGAGGAGGGCUGGAGAGACAUCGGGAGGACCAGUUGCAGAGAGGAGCUAUCCUCUCAAGGGCCUCCUUUCUGCUGAGAGCCCAACACUGGAUGAGAUGACUAGAGAGGAGCUACCCACUGCGUUUCUCCUCUGAGCUGUUGUAACACUCAACAAAGCUUCUCUUCAUCUUGUUCACCUCCCACUUGUCUACAUACCUCAUUCCUGGACACAGGACAAGACCUUGGGCAAAGGUGCCACCAGCCACAGAAGUUUCUGGCCAGAAAAGCAACACCCCAAAGAUCCCAUAACAGUCCCACUUGACUGAAGUUUCCAUUGAAAGCUGUGCUCUUGUCUGCCACUGAUCUGGGUGCAUUGUUUUGGCAUUCAUCAAGUGGAAAGUUUGCUCAACUUUAAUUUUUCAUUCAGAAUUGUAUAAGCUGAAUCAAUUGAGAUGUUAUAAUGCUGACUACUGUUUCUGCUGUUAAUCAUUAGUCCUCCUCAAUUAGGACAUUAAUAAGAUUAAUUCAUCUCAAAUUGAUGUGGAUAGUGUACAUCUUCAACAUCAUCUCAUCCCUUCUGAAAAUGAGUUAUCCAUUUGGAAACUGCUGAUUUUGGUGGGGGGAAGGGAUGGUUCCCUUUAACUUUUUGUAAAGCAUCAGUAAUUUCACCAUUCUUCCAGCCCUCUUCACCAUAAAUCUGAUGUUUGUUCUUGCUUCAAUUUUAGCAGAAAUCAUUUUGCUCUAAUAGGGACUCUUUUCAAACUGAUACUUUAACCUUCUUAGUGCCUUAAACUAGAUCCUAUUUAGACAUAACAUGUUAGUAUAAUUUAUUGCAGUCCAAAAAAUGUUGACAUCCAUGCAGUUUUUUUUAUAUAUAACAUGCAUUUUCCAUGAACUCUUUGAAGACGCCUCGUGUGUGUGUGUGUGUGUGUGUGUGUGUGUGUGUGUGUGUGUAUCUAAUUGGUUCUAUUUUUUUAAUGGGGAAAAUAACCCUAAGACAAUACUCAAACACAACUGAUAUGACAUGUUUCUCAAUUGCCCUAUAAUAAUUAUUUCAGAGCCUACUGAUACAACUUUCAAGAUUUUCAUUCCUCUCUUGCCUCAAAUAAGGUAGUGCAUAUGUAAGAAGGCACACCAUAGUACACCAGGAUCAGCAACAUCAGCCUUUGAGACACCUCAGGGUCAGCAUGCCCACAAGGGGACAAUAUGAAAAAGUCACACAGCAGAUCAUCUCAGUGGAAUGAUGGCACUGUAGAAACCUACCAAGGUGCAAGUAAAUUUGUCAUACUUUGAAAUUAAAAAGAUUACUGUUAGUAUCCAAGCAGGCAAAAAAGAAAUUCAAUAAUUAUUUAAUUACUUUAUACCCUGAGAGCAUUUAACAGCUUUGAAAACAAAGUUUAAAAUAUUCACACAAAUGUGAAGUAUUCCAAGGGUAAUAAUUAGAAUUUUUCAUGUCUUUUAUGAAUACUUUUCCAGAAGAAAAGUGUAACUUCUGACAUUCUUAAGAAAUGAAGUGGUGAGCUAGGAGCUAAAAGGAGGCAUUUGAACCUAAAGGUUGCAUAAAGUAGUAAUUUAGUACACUAGAGGAAAAAAUAAGGGAACUCAGGAUUCAAUCUUAACUCUUCCUCUAAAUCACUGUGAAACACUGGUCAAGUCACUCAAUCUCUCCAGACCAUGAAGAAAAGUAGCAAUAAGGGCAUUCUGAAAAUCGAUGGAUGGAAGUGCCUUUUGAUACAUCAGGAGAAAAUGCCUACCAGAGCAUUUAUAUUUUUAUAGCAAAAUCAAAAGAAAUAUAGGCAUUUUUUUUCUCCACAGAUCUCUCAGAGCCAAAAAAUAUCCCUAACUGACGAUGGCAAGGCAGGUUGUAAUGUGCAGUAAUAGAUAUCCAGAUGGACACUUUGGCAGUGAGCUGAGAAAUGGCCCAGAAAUGGAGCCCCCAGACGUUCCCCACAGGAGGACUCCAGCCACUGUGAGUGUCACAGGAGGUGCAUUUCCAGAAGGUUGUAUUGUCUGAGAAGACAAAAAGUGGUUCUCACAAUCAAAAAUGAGUUAAUGUGACAAUAUUUAAAUACAGAGAUUAUUUACUGCUUUCUCCUUUAGACUUAACUAACAUUGAGUUUCCUCUCUAUGAGACUGUCGACAGCUUUCUGAAUACUAAUGGGAAGACUGGUGUCUAAAAUCAGAAUUAAAAAGCUUGAGUAUCGCUUUUUGACUACUCAUUUUUUUACAUUCCACAGUUAGAUCAGUUAUAUCAUGUUCAGAAGUGGAAAAUAAAAGAAAAGGCUAAUGAUUUCAUCAAGGCUGAAUUCUCUUAUUUAUUUAUUUAUUUAUUUAUUUUUAUUGAGGUGGGGGUCUCACUAUGUUGCCCAGCCUGGUCUCAAACUCCUGAGUUCAAGGGAUCUGCCUGCCUUGGCCUGCCAAUGUGUUAGGAUUUUAUGCGUGAACCUCCUUGCCCGGCCAAGGCUGAAUUCUCUAUGAUCUGUCAGUGACAAAUUUUAUCUUUCAUGCUUCUCUUCAUCAAAUAAUUUUCCUUCCUUCUUAAGAAAUCAGAGAUAUUUAUUUUGGUACUGACCAAAUAUUUAAAAGCAAAAAUUAAUCACUUGGUAACUUACACCAUUUUUUAGAGGCCAUUUUUGGACUUCAGCGUUUUGAUUAAGUCUAGGUCCUAAGAUUUGGUCAAAGUCACUUAAUCUCUCAAGACAAUGUUCAGCACAGUCACGAAAAGGUGAUUCUGGUUGCACCACUACUAUCCACAGACUGAGUAACCCGGACUAAUCCCUUAGCUUCUUAGUGUAACACAUGCUAUAGUUUUUGGUUACAUAUGAGCUGUUGGAGAAGUCGAGAGUCACAGGUUAAACUGAAACAUGAGAAAUAAAAACAAUCCCAGCAAUGAAGUUUCCUCAAUGCCUUGUUGAUGUGGGAUGACUCAGUCUUUACUAGGUAUGCCAGCUUGUCCUGGACCUUAGGGACUAAGGUCACUAAUAAAAAACACAACUGUUUGUCUAUAGGAAUUUCUGAUUGUGGAGCAGGAUGAAGAGGAUGAACAUUACUGAGCAACAUGUUUAGAAAUUAGCUAUUAUCCCCCAUUUUACAGAUAAGAAAAAUUGUGCUGAAAGAAUUUAAAUAACUUUUUCAAGACUACUCUGCUGGCAAGUGGCAGACGAAGAGUAAAUUACAAACUACAGUGACAACAUUAUUUUCUGAGUAUCAUACUGCCUCUUUCCGCUAAGGCCCAAUCAGUACCACAAAAAUCACUCACCAUCCUUGGGAAAAAAUUAAUUCACCUUCUGGCCAAAGGAAUACAGAGUUAAAUAAAUGUAGUAAGAAAAUUGCACUUGUAAAGUAAGGGAACUAAUCAUUGAAUUAGUAAUUAUAACAACAAUUUUCAUUAUUAUUAUUUUUUAGGCAGAGUCUUGCUCUA
rnacentral:lncRNA from 1 species